rnacentral:rRNA from 1 species
GAUGAACGCUGGCGGCGUGCCUAAUACAUGCAAGUCGAGCGAACAGACGAGGAGCUUGCUCCUCUGACGUUAGCGGCGGACGGGUGAGUAACACGUGGAUAACCUACCUAUAAGACUGGGAUAACUUCGGGAAACCGGAGCUAAUACCGGAUAAUAUAUUGAACCGCAUGGUUCAAUAGUGAAAGACGGUUUUGCUGUCACUUAUAGAUGGAUCCGCGCCGCAUUAGCUAGUUGGUAAGGUAACGGCUUACCAAGGCAACGAUGCGUAGCCGACCUGAGAGGGGGAUCGGCCACACUGGAACUGAGACACGGGCCAGACUCCUACGGGAGGCAGCAGUAGGGAAUCUUCCGCAAUGGGCGAAAGCCUGACGGAGCAACGCCGCGGGAGUGAUGAAGGUCUUCGGAUCGUAAAACUCUGUUAUUAGGGAAGAACAAAUGUGUAAGUAACUAUGCACGUCUUGACGGUACCUAAUCAGAAAGCCACGGCUAACUACGUG